rnacentral:rRNA from 1 species
UAGAGUGACGAUGGCGGAAGGGAUCCACCUGUUCCCAUCUCGAACACAGAAGUUAAGCCUUCUUGCGCCGAUGGUACUUAUCCGGAAACGGAUUGGGAGAGUAGGUAGUCGCUCAAC